GACGAACGCUGGCGGCGCGCUUAACACAUGCAAGUCGAACGGAAAGGCCUGCUUUCCCUUGUGGAUUGCGGGUACUCGAGUGGCGAACGGGUGAGUAACACGUGAGUGAUCUGCCCCCAACUUGGGUAUAAGCCUGGGAAACUGGGGCUAAUUCCCGAUAGGACUGCAGGGUGGUGCCUGUGGUGGAAAACGAUUUUCUAGUGGUUGGGGAUGAGCUCGCGGCCUAUCAGCUUGUUGGUGGGGUAAUGGCCUACCAAGGCGGCGACGGGUAGCCGGCCUGAGAGGGUGGACGGCCACAUUGGGACUGAGAUACGGCCCAGACUCCUACGGGAGGCAGCAGUGGGGAAUAUUGCACAAUGGGCGGAAGCCUGAUGCAGCGACGCCGCGUGGGGGAUGACGGCCUUCGGGUUGUAAACUCCUUUCGACCGCGAGGAAGCCACCUGGUUGGAAGGGUGGUGACGGUAGUGGUAGAAGAAGCACCGGCUAACUACGUG
rnacentral:rRNA from 1 species